rnacentral:rRNA from 1 species
UACGAGGGGGGCAAAUGUUGUUCGGAAUUACUGGGCGUAAAGGGCUCGUAGGUGGCCAACUAAGUCAGACGUGAAAUCCCCUCGGCUUAACCGGGGAACUGCGUCUGAUACUGGAUGGCUUGAGUUCGGGAGAGGGAUGCGGAAUUCCAGGUGUAGCGGUGAAAUGCGUAGAUAUCUGGAGGAACACCGGUGGCGAAGGCGGCAUCCUGGACCGACACUGACGCUGAGGAGCGAAAGCCAGGGGAGCAA